rnacentral:rRNA from 1 species
UACAGGGGGGGCAAGCGUUGUUCGGAAUUACUGGGCGUAAAGGGUCUGUAGGUGGCCAACUAAGUCAGACGUGAAAUCCCUCAGCUUAACUGGGGAACUGCGUCUGAUACUGGAUGGCUCGAGUGUGGGAGAGGAAUGCGGAAUUCCAGGUGUAGCGGUGAAAUGCGUAGAUAUCUGGAGGAACACCGGUGGCGAAGGCGGCAUGCUGGACCAUAACUGACGCUGAGAGACGAAAGCCAGGGGAGCAAACGGG